AUACGUAGGUGACAAGCGUUAUCCGGAUUUACUGGGCGUAAAGGGCGUGUAGGCGGUCUUGCAAGUCAGAAGUGAAAUUCCUGAGCUCAACUCGGGCGCUGCUUCUGAAACUGCAGGACUUGAGUGCUGGAGGGGAUAGCGGAAUUCCUAGUGGAGCGGUAAAAUGCGUAGAUAUCAGAUAGAACACCAAUGGCGAAGGCAGUCAACUGGUCCGUUACUGACGCUAAAGCACGAAAGUGUGGGGAGCGAACAGGAUUAGAUACCCUGGUAGUCCACACCCUAAACGAUGAGUACUAGACGUUGGGCCUUUUAAGGUUCAGUGUCUGAGCUAACGCAUUAAGUACUCCACCUGGGAAGUACGAUCGCAAGGUUGAAACUCAAAGGAAUUGACGGGG
rnacentral:rRNA from 1 species